UACUCCGACUCCAGGCCACGAGCUGCUCCGUGACAAUGGCUCCGCCCCGCGCCUCCUUGCGGCUAUGCCGCCAGCGAUGUGCGCUGCCCCCAGCCGCGCGUCCCUUUCCUCCUCCCGGCAACGCGCCGCUCGCCUCCUCUAGCCCACAUGCCCCAGUGACUCCUCCCUGCUCGACUCCUGACGAGUCGCGCCGCCCCCGGUCACGUUGGAACACACCUCCUCCCGGCUCCAUCUCCUCCUCCCUGUCUCCUGCUGGUGAAAGCUCCGUCUCUUCCUUUGGUUGAGGGUCUUAUAAUGGACGUAAGACAGCUGUUGGAGAGGAGAUUAAAAUAUGGAAGAUAGCAACAGACGAGGUAGCUGAAGCUGGUAGAUCAAUUGAGCAAGAGCCCCAGAUCCAGACGUGUUUAUAAUGAGAUGUUUGUAAGACCAGUGCUACAUGGUUCCACUUGGAGUCUCUGUAGUUAUUUGGCUGAUGGUGUGCAUGAGUUUGAGCUAUUUAUUAUUGUGUAGUUUUGACUUUAGAACCAUGGAAGUUGUCCCUCUUUUAUAAAUAACUACAUGUGUAAAAGUAUUCUUUUCGAGGGAAACAAGGUCAAGAAUUGGCAUUAGUGGUUGGCAGUGAUGAUAAGUUCGCAUUUUAUACCAGCUAGCAAGACUUCACAGAAAUUUGUUAGAGGAAUUGCAAUCUCUUUAUCAAACAUUAUUUUUCUCAUUCC